rnacentral:rRNA from 1 species
AGUGAACGCUGGCGGUAGGCCUAACACAUGCCAGUCGAACGGCAGCACAGUAAGAGCUUGCUCUUACGGGUGGCGAGUGGCGGACGGGUGAGGAGUACAUCGGAAUCUACUUUUUCGUGGGGGAUAACGUAGGGAAACUUACGCUAAUACCGCAUACGACCUACGGGUGAAAGCAGGGGAUCUUCGGACCUUGCGCGAUUGAAUGAGCCGAUGUCGGAUUAGCUAGUUGGCGGGGUAAAGGCCCACCAAGGCGACGAUCCGUAGCUGGUCUGAGAGGAUGAUAAGCCACAUUGGAACUGAGACACGGUCCAGACUCCUACGGGAGGCAGCAGUGGGGAAUAUUGGACAAUGGGCGCAAGCCUGAUCCAGCCAUACCGCGUGGGUGAAGAAGGCCUUCGGGUUGUAAAGCCCUUUUGUUGGGAAAGAAAAGCAGCAGGUUAAUACCACGCUGUUCUGACGGUACCCAAAGAAUAAGCACCGGCUAACUUCGUG